rnacentral:rRNA from 1 species
AUGAAUAAGAGGUCCUGCCUGCCCGGUGACCAUGUAGUUCAACGGCCGCGGUAUUUUGACCGUGCAAAGGUAGCGAAAUCACUUGUCUUUUAAAUGAAGACCGGUAUGAACGGCAACACGAGGGCUUGACUGUCUCCCCUUUCAAGUCAAUGAAAUUGAUCUUCCCGUGCAGAAGCGGGAAUUCUUCCAUAAGACGAGAAGACCCUAUGGAGCUUUAGACACCAAGGCAGGCCAUGUCAAAACUCCCUUAUAAAGGACUAAACUAGUGUUCCCUGAUCCUGAUGUCUUUGGUUGGGGCGACCGCGGGGAAGCACAUAACCCCCGCGUGGACUGGAAGCACCCUUUUUGCUCCUACAAACAAGAGCUCCCACUCUAAUGAACAGAACUUCUGACCAACAAGAUCCGGCAACGCCGAUCAACGAACCGAGUUACCCUAGGGAUAACAGCGCAAUCCUCUCUUAGAGCCCAUAUCGACGAGGGGGUUUACGACCUCGAUGUUGGAUCAGGACAUCCUAAUGGUGCAGCCGCUAUUAAGGGUUCGUUUGUUCAACGAUUAAAGUCCUACGUGA